rnacentral:rRNA from 1 species
UAGGGAAUCUUCCACAAUGGACGCAAGUCUGAUGGAGCAACGGCCGCGUGAGUGAAGAAGGUUUUCGGACCGUAAAGCUCUGUUGUUGGUGAAGAAGGAUAGAGGUAGUAACUGGCCUUUAUUUGACGGUAAUCAACCAGAAAGUCACGGCUAACUACGUGCCAGCAGCCGCGGUAAUACGUAGGUGGCAAGCGUUGUCCGGAUUUAUUGGGCGUAAAGCGAGCGCAGGCGGAAGAAUAAGUCUGAUGUGAAAGCCCUCGGCUUAACCGAGGAAUUGCAUCGGAAACUGUUUUCUUGAGUGCAGAAGAGGAGAGUAGAACUCCAUGUGUAGCGGUGGAAUGCGUAGAUAUAUGGAAGAAUACCAGUGGCGAAGGCGGCUCUCUGGUCUGCAACUGACGCUGAGGCUCGAAAGCAUGGGUAGCGAACAGGAUUAGAUACCCUGGUAGUCCAUGCCGUA